GGAGGGGGAGGGGAGGAGAGGCCAAGCCUGGGAAGGCGGAAGGGCGCUCCUCGCCGCCGGGGAUGCGGGGGAUGCGGGGGGAUGCGCUGCUUCUCCAGUUCUGGGGGCCGAAGUCUAGAACAGGACGGGGCUGCCUGUCUCCUGGAAGCGAGGGGAGGGGCUCUGGGCCGCUGGCAUCCUGGGCCCCUGGCCCUCCCUCCGGGAGCAACUCCUCAGUUCCCGGGACGGGAUGUGGCAUGUUUGGAGGACCCUGGUAGCCGGGAGGAUGUGGCCUCAUCUGUUCACCCAGCACACCCCCUGGCACGGCACGGUGCCCUGCAUACAGGAGGCGCUCAAUAAUUGCUGGCCGAGUAACCGGAUGACAUGAGCCUGGUGUCAGGAAGGGAGCGCCCCCCGGAGACCCGGAGCCAGUGUGGCCCGCGCUGCUGGGCCGGGCCGCUCAGAUCACCUGGUCCGCGGCACGGCCCGGGCCGGAGCACAAAACCGCGCCCUUUGCCCGGUGCCCUGCGGCUCCGCCCAGAGAAAGCAGGCGGGAGACGGGUCCUGCAGCGCGGCUGGGCUGGACAGGGACGUGGCCCGGCUGCCACCAGCGGGGACUCAGAAGUUCACGCGGACCUCUGAGAGCUACACUAGCCCGGGAAAGGCAUGCGAAAUUGGGCCAUUUCUGUAAAAAUGAAGCCGCACGUGCCGAGAAGGGCCCUGAAGAGCGGAGAAGGCAAAGCGCUGACUGUCACCUCCUGCGGGAACUCGUGGGGGCGGGCAGGGCCCGGGAGGUUGGAGGGAAGGCAGAUGAGAGCUUUUCUUCCGCUCACCUCUCUGCCGAUGGGCAUGUUGUCAGGGACGUGUACUGCCUCUGUAGCUCGAAAGGAGAAAUCCAAUAAAGCAUAUUUUUAGAAAUGUGCUGAGAGAGACGCUGUCCUAAGAGCCUUGUGGAGCGUGUUCUCUGUGCUCUGUGAGCACCGUGGGGCAGGUGCUUUUAUCACGUAUUUCCCCCACGAGGCCGGGGGGGAUCAGAGCGGUUGAGUGAUUUGCCCACGGAGAAACAGCUUGUAGCUGUCAUAGCUGGUGCCUGGGCACAGAGAAGAGCAAGGGUUAUGUCACGUGGGCCAGUUACUGUGCCGGGAGCAGGUGAUGUGGCCCUGGCUGUCUUGGGGUGGGAGCCCCUCCACCUGCUGUGUCUGCCGGGCUAGGCUGCCGCUCCCCACAGAGGAAGGGGGGGAUGCCCCGUAUUUAUGUCUGGUUGCGAUUUCAGUUUCUCAGCUUCCCACUGAAUAUAGCGUCUCCUAGCAGAGAUGGAUGUUUAUGAGGCCAGGAGGAAAAAGCCACAGGGCACCACGGCCCAUGCCUUGCCUCUCCUCCCGAGAGGGCCUCUCAGACGUGGCUUGGCCAGACUCCGUGAGCUCAGCAGCCACUGCUUCCUCUGUGUUCAGCCCCAACACCAACCUGGGGGCCUGGUUGCAGGGCUGGCCAGGGAGAGCCAGGCCACCUGGGGCAGGACAGUGAGAGGCUCAGCUCUGGUGACCUCUGUCUG
rnacentral:lncRNA from 1 species